rnacentral:tRNA from 1 species
GGUUGUGGCUCAGUGGUACAGCACUUGCCUAGCAUGUGUGAGCCUCUGGGUUCGAUUCUCAGAACCA